UACAGAGGGUGCUAGCGUUGUUCGGAAUCAUUGGGCGUAAAGGGCGUGUAGGCGGUUUGUUAAGUCAUGUGUGAAAUCCCUCGGCUCAACCGGGGAACGACGCAUGAAACUGGCAAGCUAGAGUACCAAAGAGGGGGGUGGAAUUCCCGGUGUAGCGGUGAAAUGCGUAGAGAUCCGGAAGAACACCGGUGGCGAAGGCGGCCUGCUGGGCAGUUGCUGACACUGAGGCGCGACAGCGUGGGGAGCAAACAGG
rnacentral:rRNA from 1 species